rnacentral:rRNA from 1 species
AUAUUCAAAUGAGAACUUUGAAGACUGAAGUGGAGAAGGGUUCCAUGUGAACAGCAGUUGGACAUGGGUUAGUCGAUCCUAAGAGACAAGGAUGUUCCGCACACGCAGGCUUUGCCUCGUCUCUCGAAAGGGAAUGGGGUUAAUAUUCCCCAACCAGGACGUGGAUACUGUAUGGCAACGUAAGAGAAUUCGGUGACGCAGGGGGGAGCCUUGGGAAGCGUUGUCUUUUCUUUUUAACCGUCUCUUACCCUGGAAUCAGAUUGCCUGGAGAUAGGGUUAAUUGGCGGGUAAAGCACCUUGUCUUCCGAGGUGUCCGGUGCGCUCCCCACUGUCCUUGAAAAGCCGAAGGAAAGACUUAUUCACACCCCUGGUCGUACCCAUAACCGCAUCAGGUCUCCAAGGUUAGCAGCCUCUGGUCUAUAGAACAAAGUAGGUAAGGGAAGUCGGCAAAAUAGAU